GGGCCCAUAGCUCAAUGGCAGAGCAACCGGCUCAUAACCGGUCGGUUCUUGGUUCGAGUCCAAGUGGGCCCA
rnacentral:tRNA from 1 species